GUAAAGAACUUGCCUCACAGCUAGGGACAACAUUUGGAAACGAAUGCUAAUACCUAAUAUUAUGAUAAUAGGGCAUCCUAUAAUUAUGAAAGCUAUAAGCGCUGUGAGAGAGCUUUGCGUCCCAUUAGCUAGUUGGAGAGGUAACGGCUCACCAAGGCGAUGAUGGGUAGCCGGCCUGAGAGGGUGAUCGGCCACAAGGGGACUGAGACACGGCCCUU
rnacentral:rRNA from 1 species